AAUGGGCGCAAGCCUGAUGCAGCAACGCCGCGUGAGCGAUGAAGGCCUUCGGGUCGUAAAGCUCUGUCCUUGGGGAAGAAACAAAUGACGGUACCCUUGGAGGAAGCCCCGGCUAACUACGUGCCAGCAGCCGCGGUAAUACGUAGGGGGCGAGCGUUAUCCGGAAUUAUUGGGCGUAAAGAGUACGUAGGUGGUUAUGUAAGCGUGGGGUGAAAGGCAAUGGCUCAACCAUUGUUAGCCUUACGAACUGCAUGGCUUGAGUGCAGGAGAGGAAAGCGGAAUUCCUAGUGUAGCGGUGAAAUGCGUAGAUAUUAGGAGGAACACCAGUGGCGAAGGCGGCUUUCUGGACUGUAACUGACACUGAGGUACGAAAGCGUGGGGAGCAAA
rnacentral:rRNA from 1 species